rnacentral:sRNA from 1 species
ACUCCGAGCUGUGACCGCGCACCAACAACAGCAACAACUCCACUGCGCCGGGCUGAGGAGCAGGAAUUAGGAGCUCGCGAAUAAUAUGAAAGGGAUCCGCAAAGGGGAAAGCCGAGCAAAGGAAUCCAAACCCUGGGUGCCUGGCACGCGAAGAUGCGCUAAAUGUGGCCGCCUAGACUUCAUCCUGAUGAAGAAAAUGGGGAUUAAAAGUGGAUUUACGUUUUGGAACCUCGUCUUUUUAUUGACGGUGUCUUGUGUGAAAGGAUUUAUUUAUACAUGUGGUGGAACUUUAAAAGGACUUAAUGGCACUAUAGAAAGCCCUGGUUUUCCAUAUGGAUAUCCAAAUGGUGCAAACUGUACAUGGGUAAUAAUAGCAGAAGAACGAAAUAGAAUACAAAUUGUUUUUCAGUCAUUUGCUCUAGAAGAAGAAUACGACUACUUAUCAUUAUAUGAUGGACAUCCUCAUCCUACAAACUUUAGGACAAGGUUAACAGGAUUCCAUCUGCCACCUCCAGUGACAAGUACCAAAUCUGUGUUCUCACUACGUUUGACCAGUGAUUUUGCAGUUAGUGCUCAUGGAUUUAAGGUAUAUUACGAAGAAUUGCAGAGUAGCUCUUGUGGAAAUCCUGGUGUUCCACCCAAAGGUGUAUUAUAUGGUACAAGAUUCGACGUCGGGGACAAGAUCCGCUACAGCUGUGUAACUGGAUACAUCCUUGAUGGCCACCCUCAGCUCACCUGCAUAGCCAAUUCAGUUAAUACAGCUUCGUGGGAUUUUCCUGUUCCUAUCUGUAGAGCUGAAGAUGCUUGUGGAGGAACAAUGAGAGGAUCCAGUGGCAUCAUAUCCAGCCCUAGUUUUCCUAAUGAGUACCAUAACAAUGCUGAUUGCACUUGGACCAUUGUAGCAGAGCCUGGGGACACAAUUUCACUCAUAUUUACUGAUUUUCAAAUGGAAGAGAAAUAUGAUUACUUAGAAAUAGAAGGUUCUGAGCCACCUACCAUAUGGUUAUCUGGAAUGAACAUACCACCACCAAUUAUCAGCAACAAAAACUGGCUCAGACUGCAUUUUGUUACAGACAGCAAUCAUCGAUACCGUGGAUUUAGUGCUCCCUAUCAAGGUAUAUUUAUGGAAUACCUCUGCCUCUUUUGAUAUGUAAAAUAAUUUUGGUGUACACAACUACGUUUUGUGAUAGAAAAAUGUCUUUAGCAUUUAGAAAUUAGAAUUUGUAUUGAAAAAAAUGGUCAUGCUGUUGCUGAGACAAUAAUGUGAUCAUAACUAAAUUACAGUAUUAAAGUUAGUUGAUUUUAUAGUAUAAUAUUCAGAAUAAUGAAUAUUAUGAUUUCUAAAAGGUAGUAUGUAGCAGAUGCAAUAUUUUUCUUUAAUAAAGUGCUUCAGCAAUUGGAUAUAC